GCACCCGCGGUAAUUCCAGCUCCAAUAGCGUAUAUUAAAGUUGUUGCAGUUAGAACGCUCGUAGUCGGAUUUCGGGGCGGGCCGACCGGUCUGCCGAUGGGUACGCACUGGCCGGCGCGUCCUUCCUUCCGGAGACCGUGCCUACUCUUAACUGAGCGGGGGCGGGAGACGGAUCGUUUACUUUGAAAAAAUCAGAGUGUUUCAAGCAGGCAGCUCGCUCUUGCAUGGAUUAGCAUGGGAUAAUGAAAUAGGACUUUGGUGCUAUUUUGUUGGUUUCGAACACCGAAGUAAUGAUUAAAAGGGACAGUCAGGGGCACUCGUAUUCCGCCGAGAGAGGUGAAAUUCUCAGACCAGCGGAAGACGAACCACUGCGAAAGCAUUUGCCAGGGAUGUUUUCAUUGAUCAAGAACGAAAGU
rnacentral:rRNA from 1 species